GCCCGUAUGGCGAAAUUGGUAGACGCAGGUGACUUAAAAUCACCCGUCGUAAGACGUGCCGGUUCGAGUCCGGCUAUGGGCACCA
rnacentral:tRNA from 1 species